GACGAACGCUGGCGGCGUGCUUAACACAUGCAAGUCGAACGAAGUGGCGAACGGGUGAGUAACGCGUAAACAACCUGCCCUUCAGAGGGGGACAACAGUUGGAAACGACUGCUAAUACCGCAUACUGACGGAGGGUCUUGCGUCUGAUUAGCUAGUUGGAGGGGUAACGGCCCCCCAAGGCGAUGAUCAGUAGCCGGUCUGAGAGGAUGAACGGCCACAGUGGGACGGAGAAACGGCCCAGACUCCUACGGGAGGGAGCAGUGGGGGAUAUGGCACAAUGGGCGAAAGCCUGAUGCAGCGACGCCGCGUGGGGGAUGAAGGCUUUCGGGUUGGAAACCUCUUUCGCUAUCGAACGGGUAGGUGGAGAAGAAGCGCCGGCUAACUACGUGCCAGCGGCCGCGGUAAUUC
rnacentral:rRNA from 1 species